CCCGGUAGCUAAAUGCGGAAGAGAUAAGUGCUGAAAGCAUCUAAGCACGAAACUUGCCCCGAGAUGAGUUCUCCCUGAGACUUUAGGUCUCCUGAAGGAACGUUGAAGACGACGACGUUGAUAGGCCGGGUGUGUAAGCGCAGCGAUGCGUUGAGCUAACCGGUACUAAUGAACCGUGAGGCUUAACCUU
rnacentral:rRNA from 2 species